rnacentral:SRP_RNA from 1 species
GCCCCAGGUCCGCAGAUCGGGAGCCCGCGAACCCCGUCAGGACCUCGCCGGUAGCAGCGGUAAGUGUGGUAACCGUUGCUGCGGGUAGCCUGGGGCACU